rnacentral:rRNA from 1 species
GAUGAACGCUGGCGGCGUGCCUAAUACAUGCAAGUCGAGCGAACAGACGAGGAGCUUGCUCCUCUGACGUUAGCGGCGGACGGGUGAAUAACGCGUGGAUAACCUACCUAUAAUACUGAGAUAACUUCGGGAAACGGGCGAUAAUACCGGAUAAUAUAUUGAACCGCAUGGUUCAAUAGUGAAAGACGGUUUUGCUGUCACUUAUAGCUGAAUCCCCUCCGCAUGGGCUAGUUGGUAAGGAAACGGCCUACCAAGUCGACGAUGCGCAGCCCACCUGAGAGAGUGAUCGCCCACACUGGAAGUGAGACGGCCUCCAUGGGACUACGGGAGGGAGCAGUAGGGUACCUUCCGCAAUGGUCGAAAGCCUUACGGAGUAACGCCGCGCCAGUGACGAAGGCGCUCGGAUCGGAAAACUGUGUUUCUAGGUAAGAACAACUGUCGAUGUAAAUAUGCACGUCUUGACGGUACCUAAUCAGAAAGCCCCGGCUAACUACGUG